AGUGAACGCUGGCGGUAGGCCUAACACAUGCAAGUCGAACGGCAGCACAGAGGAGCUUGCUCCUUGGGUGGCGAGUGGCGGACGGGUGAGAAAUACAUCGGAAUCUACUCUGUCGUGGGGGAUAACGUAGGGAAACUUACGCUAAUACCGCAUACGACCUACGGGUGAAAGCAGGGGACCUUCGGGCCUUGCGCGAUUGAAUGAGCCGAUGUCGGAUUAGCUAGUUGGCGGGGUAAAGGCCCACCAAGGCGACGAUCCGUAGCUGGUCUGAGGGGAUGAUCAGCCACACUGGAACUGAGACACGGUCCAGACUCCUACGGGAGGCAGCAGUGGGGAAUAUUGGACAAUGGGCGCAAGCCUGAUCCAGCCAUACCGCGUGGGUGAAGAAGGCCUUCGGGUUGUAAAGCCCUUUUGUUGGGAAAGAAAUCCAGCUGGCUAACACCCGGUUGGGAUGACGGUACCCAAAGAAUAAGCACCGGCUAACUUCGUGCCAGCCGCCGCAGUAA
rnacentral:rRNA from 1 species